rnacentral:lncRNA from 1 species
UCCACUACAAACACCAAGAGUUACAAAAUCGUUCUCCAAAAUUAGCCAAAAAACAAGCGCCAAACAAUGAGCAACAACAAAACAAAAUUGCACAAAAACUAUAGAAUUAAAGGAGAGAUUUCACCCAAAAACGAGCUCAAAAUUAUGAAAAAUUGAGAAGAGACAACGAGAGUUAAAUAAAUAAGAGCAGCAACAUACCAAGAAUCACAAAUACAUUGUUGAUGUUUCAGUAGAUCCAGGUGGAUUUUGUCCAAAUGUAGCUUAGAUGACUUCGAG